AUCGGUGACAGGUGGUGCAUGGUUGUCGUCAGCUCGUGUCGUGAGAUGUUGGGUUAAGUCCCGCAACGAGCGCAACCCCUAUUGUUAGUUGCCAUCAUUCAGUUGGGCACUCUAGCGAGACUGCCGGUAAUAAACCGGAGAAGGUGGGGAUGACGUCAAAUCAUCAUGCCCCUUAUGACCUGGGCUACACACGUGCUACAAUGGUUGGUACAACGAGUUGCGAGUCGGUGACGGCGAGCUAAUCUCUUAAAGCCAAUCUCAGUUCGGAUUGUAGGCUGCAACUCGCCUACAUGAAGUCGGUACCGCUAGUAAUCGCGGAUCAGCACGCCGCGGUGAGUACGUUCCCGGGCCUU
rnacentral:rRNA from 1 species